GGGCACGGGGGGAGGAAAGCAGGGGAUCGUAAGACCUUGCGCCGAUGGAUGAGCCGAAGUCGGAUUAGCUAGUUGGUAGGGUAACGGCCUACCAAGGCGACGAUCCGUAGCUGGUCUGAGAGGACGACCAGCCACACUGGGACUGCGACACGGCCCAGACUCCUACGGGAGGCAGCAGUGGGGAAUAUUGGACAAUGGGGGAAACCCUGAUCCAGCGACGCCGCGUGUGUGAAGAAGGCCUGCGGGUUGUAAAGCACUUUUAGUGGGGAUGAAAAAUUCAGGGCUAAUAUCCCUGGGUCUUGACCUAACCCAAAGAAAAAGCACCGGCUAACUCUGUGCCAGCAGCCGCGGUAAUACAGAGGGUGCGAGCGUUAAUCGGAAUUACUGGGCGUAAAGCGCGCGUAGACGGUUU
rnacentral:rRNA from 1 species